GUGCUCGCCUUGGCAGCACAUAUACUAAAAUUGGAAUAAUACAGAGAUUAACAUGGCCCCUACACAAGGAUGAUACUCAAAUUUGUGAAGCAUUCCAUAUUUUU
ensembl:snRNA U6 U6 spliceosomal RNA